AUGAAUGUAGCUGGUUGGCACUCCUCCAUUAGAGAUCCAGAUUUCACAGAUUUCCUCGGCUGUCACCAUAUUCUACUAAUUCAGGAGACAUGGGCAGUGGAAAAAUUGACACUAAAUGGCUUUCAAUCAUAUACAGUGAGGGCCGAGAAAGGGGCUAAACGUGGGAGAGCCAAAGGUGGAAUAGGGAUUCUAGUUUCCACUUCAUUACAUGUCAGUACUAAGCCCCUACCCACCUCCAAAGCGGGUGCAAUGGCAGUGUUGCUCCAAUUUCAUCAUUGCACAUUAAUGGUAGUUAAUGUAUAUAUGCCCCCAUUGAGGAGUAAAACACAAACAAGAGCCCGAUGGAAGGAAUUGGAAAAGUAUGUUACUGAACUCAUACUCCAAAAUCCAACCGCCUCAGUAGUCCUGGGGGGAGACCUCAAUGCAAGGAUGGGCCCUGAUGACACCUCACUUCACAGACAACACAAGAUUCCCCCUCCCGAGCCUGUAGAUGAUCUAUACCUCUUGAGGCGACAAUCUAAGGAUCAGAAAUCAAAUCUUGCUGGACUAUGCCUGGCUCAAUCAACUGCCAGGCUAAACCUCCACAUAUUAAAUGGUGCCUUAGAAGGAGACCACCCUGCUGAAUUCACCUAUCUUUCUGGAAACAAAAUGAGCGGCAUCGAUUAUAUUGCCAUAUCGAGGGAUCUAAUACCACAUACCAAGCACCUGGAAGUCAUGCCAAAACUCGAUAGUGACCACUUUCCUAUUCUUCUCGAAUUAGCCAUUUCUAUCCAAGUAAUAGUGGACUGUCAUCAACCCAUCUUACAACCAACUGCAAAAGCCAACUGUCGAGUCAAAUGGACGCCAGAGUUGAACCAAAGAGUUACCGAACUGCUGGCAACAGAACAGCUACAGAAUCUAAGGAUUGGUGUGACAUAUGCUACAUCCCCCAGUGCUCUUUUGGAGAACUUUAACUCAAUAAUUCAAGAACCCCAGAAACGAAUAAGAAGCUCCAACAUAGUUCCACAUAGGCAAUAUCAUCAUCACUCCAAACCCUGGUUUGAUAAGGAAUGUAUAAAUGCAAAGAAAUCACUUAUUUCCGCCUACCAGGCUUUCCAGUCUAAUAACUCAGUAAUGGCAUCACAAGAGCUUCUCCAUCAGAAGAGACUAUAUAAGCGCCUGUUGGCCCAGAAAAAAAGGGAAGACUCAAAAAACAACUGGACACGGCUCAUACAAGCCGUUCAAACUAAAGACUCAGCCACCUUCUGGCACAUCAUAUCAUGUACAGCAAAUUAUGUUAAGCCCUUGAUAGGAAGCCAUAUCUCCCCAGGGUCACGGGAAACAUAUUUUCAGGAUAUAUAUAAGGAUAAUACUGGUGGGAAUGCCCGUUCCACCCCAGACUUGGAAAAUUUACCAACAUGCCCUGCGGUCACUCCGACAGAGAUCAGGAGCCUUGUCAAUCAGUUACAGCAAGGGAAAGCCCCAGGAUAA
rnacentral:lncRNA from 1 species